rnacentral:rRNA from 1 species
UACAGAGGGGGCAAGCGUUGUUCGGAAUUACUGGGCGUAAAGGGCGCGUAGGCGGCCUGUUAAGUCGAACGUGAAAUCCCCGGGCUCAACCCGGGAACUGCGUCCGAUACUGGCUGGCUGGAAUCCGGGAGAGGGAUGCGGAAUUCCAGGUGUAGCGGUGAAAUGCGUAGAUAUCUGGAGGAACACCGGUGGCGAAGGCGGCAUCCUGGACCAAUUCUGACGCUGAGGAGCGAAAGCCAGGGGAGCAAACGGG